UACGAAAGGUGCAAGCGUUACUCGGAAUCACUGGGCGUAAAGCGCACGUAGGCGGACUCGUAGGUCAAUUGUGAAAUACCUGGGCUCAACCCGGGAACUGCAGUUGAAACCGCUUGUCUUGAAUACCUGAGAGGGUGGGGGAAUACCUGGUGGAGAAGUGAAAUUCGUAGAGAUCAGGUGGAACACCGGAGGCGAAGGCGCCUGCCUGGCAGUGUAUUGACGCUGAGGUGCGAAAGCUAGGGGAGCAAACGGG
rnacentral:rRNA from 1 species